rnacentral:rRNA from 1 species
GACGAACGCUGGCGGCGUGCUUAACACAUGCAAGUCGAACGGAAAGGCCCUGCUUUUGUGGGGUGCUCGAGUGGCGAACGGGUGAGUAACACGUGAGUAACCUGCCCUUGACUUUGGGAUAACUUCAGGAAACUGGGGCUAAUACCGGAUAGGAGCUCCUGCUGCAUGGUGGGGGUUGGAAAGUUUCGGCGGUUGGGGAUGGACUCGCGGCUUAUCAGCUUGUUGGUGGGGUAGUGGCUUACCAAGGCUUUGACGGGUAGCCGGCCUGGGAGGGUGACCGGCCACAUUGGGACUGAGAUACGGCCCAGACUCCUACGGGAGGCAGCAGUGGGGAAUAUUGCCCAAUGGGCGGAAGCCUAAUGCAGCAACGCCGCGUGCGGGAUGACGGCCUUCGGGUUGUAAACCGCUUUCGCCUGUGACGAGGCGUGAGUGACGGUAAUGGGUACAGAAGCACCGGCUAACUACGUG